rnacentral:lncRNA from 1 species
GUUAUGCUUCAUAUCACCCACCGGGGAGGAUCAUCUCUCAUGAAAACUUCCAAAUUUGAUUUUGAAAAUUAUUCAGAAAAAUUUAAGCCACGCUAUCUCCCACUGUAGGAAAGAAUAUACUCUGGAGGUUCCUAUAAUUCAAAGAAAAUGGACUGGGAUAACAUUUGGGUUUGCAUGCCACCAAAAUCCUCUCGAGAAGGACAGCCAGGUUUUGCUAAAGGAUCACACUGUGGAAUCUACAACCGCGACAAACUUCUGCACUUACUGCCCCUUGAAAAACAAAAUAUUGGCAUGGGAAGGAGGCUAAUAAUGAAGGGCCGGGGAAGGAGGCCAGUGCUAGGAGGGUUAUCUCACUGCCUCAGAUGCUGGAUAAGUCGAAGGAAGCAGAAUCGCUUUUGGAUGACAUUCAGAAAGGCCGGAGUGAUUAUUUGGGAGAGAAAAGCUUGCCUAUUCUUUUCCAAGGUAAACAGUUCAUUUCAUCUGUCGGCUGCAUGUUUCGAUGUAAAAAUAUGUUUAUGUAAAGAUAUCUAUAAAGUUUGCCUUUAA